rnacentral:rRNA from 1 species
UACAGAGGUCCCAAGCGUUGUUCGGAUUCACUGGGCGUAAAGGGUGCGUAGGUGGCAGGACAAGUUCGAUGUGAAAUCUCCGGGCUUAACCCGGAAACGGCAUUGAAAACUGUCUUGCUCGAGGAUCGGAGGGGAGACUGGAAUUCUCGGUGUAGCAGUGAAAUGCGUAGAUAUCGAGAGGAACACCAGUGGCGAAAGCGAGUCUCUGGACGAAACCUGACACUGAGGCACGAAAGCUAGGGGAUCAAACAGG